AGAUCGUCUUUCCUCCUUCGCAGAAUUGUUUAAAGAUGGAGUGAAUGAUGCACGUAAGCAUCUCGAAAACAGAAACUCCUAGAAGAAUACCUGGCACCCAGUGGGGGGUCAGCACAUGACAGCUCCCUUUCCCGUCUGUUGGACUGUGGGAGUUUUCCGGAGCAGGGAGCGCAUCAUGUUUUUCUUUGCAUCCCAGGGAAUAAUCAACACCUUGUAUGAACCACACCCUAGGGAGGGAGCUGGGCAAGCAGGCAUGCGAGAUGCUCAGCUCCUGGGUUUCUGAUCUGACCGUCUCGCUGGGACUGCACUCCAGUGACCUUUAUCCCCUUUGUCAUAACCCAGCCGUGUUUCCUGGGAUCAUGUCCCACAUGGGCCACUUGCACGUGAAUUUCCAUCUCAGAGUUUGCUUCUAAGACAGGUCUUGACAUCGUCUUGACGGCCGAUUCCUCUGAUAGAUACAAGACUUUCUGUCAUGGCCGUGAAAACGCACUCUGGGUAAUGCUGGUCCCUGAGGAAUGAAAGACUUGUGGAGCAGAGUGACCUCAGUGCCUGCCAUCCUUGCAGCCCUGCAGCUUGAGGAACGAUACCCCAGCUCAGUAUGCUAACAAGCACUUAUUGCUGUCUGCCUUUCAGGAUGGUUUGUCACGCAGCAAUCGCUGACUGAUACAAAGCUUUCUCUGUGCUCUGCUCACCCAUCUGUUUAGCCCACAAUCACAUGUGAUUAGAAA
rnacentral:lncRNA from 1 species